UAUCUCUGUAGAGUCUGCAUAUCAAUAAGCGGAGGAAAAGAAACUAACAAGGAUUCCCCUAGUAACGGCGAGUGAAGCGGGAAGAGCUCAAAUUUGAAAUCUUAAAGGGUUUCCCUUUACGAAUUGUAGUUUAAAGAAGUGUUUUCUGUUGAGGUUUUGGUAAAAGUUCUUUGGAAUAGGACAUCAUAGAGGGUGAGAAUCCCGUAUUUGACCAUUACUUUCCAACUUUGUGAUACACUUUCAAAGAGUCGGAUUGUUUGGGAAUGCAGUCCAAAAUGGGUGGUAAAUUUCAUCUAAAGCUAAAUAUUGGCGAGAGACCGAUAGCGAACAAGUACCGUGAGGGAAAGAUGAAAAGAACUUUGAAAAGAGAGUUAAACAGUACGUGAAAUUGUCAAAAGGGAAGCGUUUGACACCAGUGUUGUUUUCUCGAAAAUCAAUUAAAAAAGGCAGGAUUUUGUGUUGUAUUGACUUUAUCAGCUUUCUGCACUCUUUUCUUGUCUUUUUUAAUGCACUUUUCGUUUAACAAGUCAACAUCAAUUUCUUUUGUUGUAAAAGGGUCAUUGGAAGGUGGCUUUCUUUUCGGAGAAAGUGUUUAUAGCCUUUGGCCUCUGCAAUCGGAGAGAUUGAGGUCUGCAGCGUAGAUCCUUCGGGGUUAGAUACAGUUAGAUGCUAAGUUAUAGCCUUUUCAUAGACAACUUGUUGACUAUGAUCAGUCAUGUAGCUUACUCGCUUAUGCUAUUUUACCUACGCUUAGGAUGUUGACGAUCAGCUGAGCGCG
rnacentral:rRNA from 1 species